rnacentral:rRNA from 1 species
UACGUAGGGUGCGAGCGUUAAUCGGAAUUACUGGGCGUAAAGCGUGCGCAGGCGGUUCUGAAAGUCAGCUGUGAAAGCCCCGGGCUUAACCUGGGAACGGCGGUUGAAACUACAGGACUAGAAUCUGGCAGAGGGGGGUGGAAUUCCACGUGUAGCAGUGAAAUGCGUAGAGAUGUGGAGGAACACCGAUGGCGAAGGCAGCCCCCUGGGCCGAGAUUGACGCUCAGGCACGAAAGCGUGGGGAGCAAACAGG